UGGGUGGCUAGAUUCAUAUUAACACAUUACGUAUCGCAUAGAAAUCUCUAAGACAUAUGCCAGGGACUGCACAUUUUUGGGCAAA